rnacentral:rRNA from 1 species
UACGUAGGGUGCAAGCGUUGUCCGGAAUUAUUGGGCGUAAAGAGCUCGUAGGCGGUCUGUCGCGUCGGAUGUGAAAAUCCAGGGCUCAACCCUGGACCUGCAUUCGAUACGGGCAGACUAGAGUUCGGUAGGGGAGACUGGAAUUCCUGGUGUAGCGGUGGAAUGCGCAGAUAUCAGGAGGAACACCGGUGGCGAAGGCGGCUCUCUGGGACGGUACUGACGCUGAGACGCGAAAGCGUGGGGAGCGAACAGG